AGUCUUAUAGUCUAAUUAGGAUUAUAAAUUGCAAAUUUAUAGGUGAAAAAAUUCUAAGGCUU
rnacentral:tRNA from 1 species